rnacentral:ncRNA from 1 species
AAACAGGCAGAGACGAAGACAGUAUUUGUUAGGCGUAGUUAAGCGAUUUGGGGAUAGUGUGAGCCCGAACAAGCAAAUAACAAUGAACAUCACUUCUGAGCUAAAAUAACUGAAUGCAGUAAGUUAUUUCGUGAUGCACAACGUUAACGUGCUUUAAGAGUGGUAGUGCAAUUUUGUGCUACAAUUAGGGUGGUACCGCGAGUAUAAGCUUCUCGUCCCUUUG